rnacentral:rRNA from 1 species
UACGGAGGGGGCUAGCGUUGUUCGGAAUUACUGGGCGUAAAGCGCACAUAGGCGGCUUUGUAAGUUAGAGGUGAAAGCCCAGGGCUCAACCCUGGAAUUGCCUUUAAGACUGCAUCGCUAGAAUUGUGGAGAGGUAAGUGGAAUUCCGAGUGUAGAGGUGAAAUUCGUAGAUAUUCGGAAGAACACCAGUGGCGAAGGCGACUUACUGGACACAUAUUGACGCUGAGGUGCGAAAGCGUGGGGAGCAAACAGG